rnacentral:rRNA from 1 species
AGUGAACGCUGGCGGUAGGCCUAACACAUGCAAGUCGAACGGCAGCACAGUAAGAGCUUGCUCUUACGGGUGGCGAGUGGCGGACGGGUGAGGAAUACAUCGGAAUCUACUUUUUCGUGGGGGAUAACGUAGGGAAACUUACGCUAAUACCGCAUACGACCUACGGGUGAAAGCAGGGGAUCUUCGGACCUUGCGCGAUUGAAUGAGCCGAUGUCGGAUUAGCUAGUUGGCGGGGUAAAGGCCCACCAAGGCGACGAUCCGUAGCUGGUCUGAGAGGAUGAUCAGCCACACUGGAACUGAGACACGGUCCAGACUCCUACGGGAGGCAGCAGUGGGGAAUAUUGGACAAUGGGCGCAAGCCUGAUCCAGCCGUACCGCGUGGGUGAAGAAGGCCUUCGGGUUGUAGAGCCCUUUUGUUGGGAAAGAAAAGCAGCAGGUUAAUACCCCGCUGUUCUGACGGUACCCAAAGAAUAAGCACCGGCUAACUUCGUG